rnacentral:tRNA from 1 species
GGCUCAGUGGUAGAGCACUUGCCUAGCAUGCAUGAGGCACUGAGUUUGAUCCUCAG